rnacentral:lncRNA from 1 species
CUUGUGUGCUGUAGGUGGUUUACAGCACAUUUCAUAAAGUAUUCCCACCCAGAAGAGAGUCCCCUGUUAGAAGGGGCCACCCCGUGCAUAAGUUUACCCACACUACACACUACACACAAGCAUACACACGUGAAAAGACAGAUGGGAGGUGAGGACAGGCCCUGUCCGACAGAGCCCUGCUCCCCUACCCCACACACUUUGCCCACAUGGGAUCCACCCAUCUUGAGUUACAGAAACUAGAAACUUCCCUUCUGAUGUAUAGAGAGCCGGGAGGUAAUGGGGGCAGUUAGCAGUACUCCCGUUGUGAAGAUUGACUGGGUACCCCAUGUCUAAAGCCACUGGUUUGAGUCAACAUUUUUCUUUUUUUGGUAAAACAUGGUUUUUGGAGUACCGAACUCACAGGGGCUUGCCUUAAUUCAGUAGUUUCAAGAUGUAUGCGCUAUAUUCUAUGUGUUAAAAUGGUAAAAUAUUCUAUGUAGCCCCAAGAGUGGGUAAAACAAAGUUUAAUGCCUAAAUAAAUAAGCCAAAAGGUGUCACAACAGCUGGAUUUUUUUAGAGAAAAUGGACAUAAAAAACUAGGCUAUGCGUCAUGGACAAAAGUGACGGCACCUGGGACUGCACUACGUCAUGCACUAUUUUCUACGCCAUUUCCUAGCCUGCACUUUGACCUCCAAAGAAACGCUGUGUGGUGCCUGUUCCUUGUUAGUGAGCUCACCCCUGAGUCGUCACUUAUUUCACUCUGCGGAGUUAGCCUCCUGGAGCUGGCGUCCUUAUUUGAGUUCUCUGCUUCCUUAGCCAUAAUACUUUGUAGGGUCUGAGAACUCCUGUCUCGACCAUUUCCAACAGCACAGAAUCCUGAUGUAAUGUAAAUCUCACCCAUGGUGACCCAUGCAGUCACAGAUCCUCUUCUAGUGGUGAAUACUUGUGUGUUACAUGUAUUCAUUCGUCACAGCCCCUCAGAAAGCAGACACUACGAUUUGAAGGUGGGAGUAGGAGGCCUGAAAAGGAGCUCUCAGAGCGCUGCAGCUGCUGGGAAUUGGCUGUCUUAACAGGAAGCUGAAUUUACCGUUGAAUGCUUUGGCUUGGGGUCUGCACGAGAUCCUUUAGGGCAGACGAGGUUCUGUUUAAACUACUCACAUGUAGAGCCCAUCUGCAGAAAAUUCUCUUUAACAAAACGCUAAGACUACAGAAGCCAGUAACUACUGCGGUGGAGUGUGGCCACCGGCUGCUCUCUGAGUAGCCGUCUAUCACACAGAUUAAAACUAAGGCAGGCUUGAGUGAUGUUGGCCUUUCCCAAUUUCCUAAGAACCGUUCAAUUUUUAAAGCUCAAGCAUUAAAUUCACCUUCUUCCCAUUGUGUCUGCAGAUAGCCACAAGCUUUAGAGGCCUAGGAAUCUGAGCAGGCGGGCUGUUGCCAAAGUCUAGCGGUUCAUUCUGCCCAAAGGUUAGACGUGUUUAAAACUGCUCUCUGUGGUACCAUGUGUCUGUUUACUUAUGCUCUUGAGCAACAAUAAACCACUAGUUUACCUUCUGGAGUUUUCAUUGUUUUGACCUAAUCAAUUAUUGGAAGGUGAUAAAAAGCACCUCCUAGUCACACAACAGGACACGGAAAUAAACAUGUUGUCACCA